AGAGUUUGAUCCUGGCUCAGGAUGAACGCUGGCGGCGUGCCUAACACAUGCAAGUCGAGCGAAGCACUUUGCUUAGAUUCUUCGGAUGAAGAGGAUUGUGACUGAGCGGCGGACGGGUGAGUAACGCGUGGGUAACCUGCCUCAUACAGGGGGAUAACAGUUAGAAAUGACUGCUAAUACCGCAUAAGACCACAGCACCGCAUGGUGCGGGGGUAAAAACUCCGGUGGUAUGAGAUGGACCCGCGUCUGAUUAGCUAGUUGGUAAGGUAACGGCUUACCAAGGCGACGAUCAGUAGCCGACCUGAGAGGGUGACCGGCCACAUUGGGACUGAGACACGGCCCAAACUCCUACGGGAGGCAGCAGUGGGGAAUAUUGCACAAUGGGGGAAACCCUGAUGCAGCGACGCCGCGUGAGCGAAGAAGUAUUUCGGUAUGUAAAGCUCUAUCAGCAGGGAAGAAAAUGACGGUACCUGACUAAGAAGCACCGGCUAAAUACGUGCCAGCAGCCGCGGUAAUACGUAUGGUGCAAGCGUUAUCCGGAUUUACUGGGUGUAAAGGGAGCGUAGACGGAUGGGCAAGUCUGAUGUGAAAACCCGGGGCUCAACCCCGGGACUGCAUUGGAAACUGUUCAUCUAGAGUGCUGGAGAGGUAAGUGGAAUUCCUAGUGUAGCGGUGAAAUGCGUAGAUAUUAGGAGGAACACCAGUGGCGAAGGCGGCUUACUGGACGGUAACUGACGUUGAGGCUCGAAAGCGUGGGGAGCAAACAGGAUUAGAUACCCUGGUAGUCCACGCCGUAAACG
rnacentral:rRNA from 2 species